AGCAGCCGCGGUAAUUCCAGCUCCAAUAGCGUAUAUUAAAGUUGUUGCAGUUAAAAAGCUCGUAGUUGAAUUUCGGGAUCAAAGGAUCGGUCAUGCCUUGGUAUGUACUGGUUUUAUUGGUUCUCACCUUCUAAAGAACCAUAAUGUCAUUCAUUUGAUGUUAUGGGGAAUUAGGACUGUUACCUUGAAAAAAUUAGAGUGUUUAAAGCAGGCUUACGCUUGAAUACAUUAGCAUGGAAUAAUGAAAUAGGACAUCAGAUUCUAUUUUGUUGGUUUCUAGGAUCGAUGUAAUGAUUAAUAGGGAUAGUUGGGGGCAUUAGUAUUCAAUUGUCAGAGGUUAAAUUCUUGGAUUUAUUGAAGACUAACUACUGCGAAAGCAUUUGCCAAGGAUGUUUUCAUUAAUCAAGAACGAAAGUUAGGGGAUCGAAGACGAUCAGAUACCGUCGUAGUCUUAACCAUAAACUAUGCCGACUAGGGAUCGGAUGAUGUUAAUUUUAUAAUGACUCAUUCGGCACCUUACG
rnacentral:rRNA from 1 species